CCUACGGGGUGCAGCAGUGAGGAAUAUUGGUCAAUGGACGAGAGUCUGAACCAGCCAAGUAGCGUGAAGGAUGACUGCCCUAUGGGUUGUAAACUUCUUUUAUAUGGGAAUAAAAUGUUCCACGUGUGGGAUUUUGUAUGUACCAUAUGAAUAAGGAUCGGCUAACUCCGUGCCAGCAGCCGCGGUAAUACGGAGGAUCCGCGCGUUAUCCGGAUUUAUUGGGUUUAAAGGGAGCGUAGGUGGAUUGUUAAGUCAGUUGUGAAAGUUUGCGGCUCAACCGUAAAAUUGCAGUUGAAACUGGCAGUCUGGAGUACAGUAGAGGUGGGCGGAAUUCGGGGUGUAGCGGUGAAAUGCUUAGAUAUCACGAAGAACUCCGAUUGCGAAGGCAGCUCACUGGACUGCAACUGACACUGAGGCUCGAAAGUGUGGGUAUCAAACAGGAUUAGAUACCCCGGUAGUC
rnacentral:rRNA from 1 species